rnacentral:tRNA from 2 species
GCGAUUUGUAGCUCAUUUUAGAGCGUUGGUCUUGUAAACCAAAGGUUAAAUAUGUAAUAUUUCUGUCGCU